AUCCACUAAUAAAGUCCAAGGAACAAGAAACCAGACUGUCAGCUCAAUUGAAUACAUAUCUUGUUACAAGUUUGGUGCUUGAAUCAAUUGCUUGUCCUUGUUCAGUUGAUAAUUCCUUCUUUGGGAAAUCAAUCUAAUCUUUCUCAGUCAUCAAUGCAACUGCAAAAUCUCUUGUUUUCCUCUUCAAGAAUCUCGAGAGGUUUUUUUUUCCUUUUUGGUGAGGGAAGCUUCAUCACCUUUAAUACGCUCGAUAAAGAAAAUUACUUUGGCAAAGCAAGUGUUUUAUGGUCAAUGCUGCAGAGUGUCAAGAGAUGGCAUAUUGGCUACAUGAUUGUGUAUAUAUUCUCUAAUCCAUCUUCCAAGCAGAGGAAGUUUACAUGCCUCGGCCUCUGGUCGUCAUCAUGCUCUACUUGGAGGUCUUCCCGACUUCCCAGCUCUUCUGAGAACAAAAAAUACAAAACGGGAAAAGAACGGUGGUUAGGCACAUGGAAGUACUUGACAAGCUAGGCAUUCCUUAUCUCAGGAUCAGGGCCAUUAGGCACUCUUCUCUUGCUACUGUUGAAAGGAUCCGAGUUCUUGUGACCUGUUACUACGGACCUAGCUGUUGACGAAGGCACAGCAAGAGCAGCCACAGGUGGUACAGAUCUUGCCCCUGCACAACGUGUUGUUGCCAUGGACACCAGGAGAGAAGUGAAUAACAAGAAUGUCAAGUUACUACUACGGUCUCUUCUCAUCUCUGCUACAAACUCUUACUGUCAAAACCUCUACAGUUUCCAAGAGGCCAAAUCCUGAGUGGAAGAGAGGAACAAGGCAAUGGAUGGCUAAUUCGUUUGUUCAAAUUCUUAUACUGGGGGAAAUUUUAAGUCUCCUUUAAUUUUGCUUUGGUGUCUUUUUCUUUUAUCUGUGGAGUUUGGAAGUGCUUCUGUAGUGCUUUUUGUGGGACUGCGUAGAGGAGACAACAAAAGCAAGCAGGUACCGAACGUGAAGUGUUCAUUUGGAGCUCCCUUGCUUUGGGACCAACCGGGCCCACCCAAUCCUUCUUACUUUGGAGCUGUUUUAAGAAAAUCAAAUCAGAUUGAGUGAGAUUAAUAUGGUAGUGUUUCAGAAAUUCAGUUGUGUUGCUUGCGCAAACCCUUAUCUAGUUUUCUGCAAGGCUACUAUUCAUCAAAAUUUACGUGUCUUUCUAUGAUUGCUUUUACUGUGUAAUCAAAUACAUUGUAAGAAUGACUCA